rnacentral:rRNA from 1 species
AUUGAACGCUGGCGGCAUGCCUUACACAUGCAAGUCGAACGGCAGCACGGGUGCUUGCACCUGGUGGCGAGUGGCGAACGGGUGAGUAAUACAUCGGAACGUACCUUAUCGCGGGGGAUAACGCAGCGAAAGCUGUGCUAAUACCGCAUACGCCCUGAGGGGGAAAGCGGGGGAUCGAAAGACCUCGCGCGAUUAGAGCGGCCGAUGCCUGAUUAGCUUGUUGGUGGGGUAAAAGCCCACCAAGUCGACGAUCAGUAGCUGGACUGAGAGGACCAAUCAGCCACACUUGGACGGAGACACGGCCCAGACACCUAGGGGAGGCAGCAGUGGGGAAUUAUGGAAAAUGGGGGCAACCCUGAUCCAGCAAUGCCGCGUGAGUGAAGAAGGCCUUCGGGUUGUAAAGCUCUUUUGUCAGGGAAGAAACACCGGCGCUAACACAGUCCGGGAAUGACGGUACCUGAAGAAUAAGCACCGGCUAACUACGUGCCAGCAGCCGCCGUAA